rnacentral:rRNA from 1 species
UACAGAGGGGGCAAGCGUUGUUCGGAAUUACUGGGCGUAAAGGGCGCGUAGGCGGCGUGCUAAGUCGAACGUGAAAUCCCCGGGCUCAACCCGGGAACUGCGUCCGAGACUGGCAUGCUUGAAUCCGGGAGAGGGAUGUGGAAUUCCAGGUGUAGCGGUGAAAUGCGUAGAUAUCGUGAGGAACACCAGAGGCGAAGGCGGUUACCCUGGACAGUUACUGACGCUCAGGCACGAAAGCGUGGGGAGCCAAAAGGGAGUUAGAAACCCUGAGA